rnacentral:lncRNA from 1 species
CCCGGGCAGCGUGGGGGCGGGGAGGAGGACGCGGCCACCAGGUCGCCGCGCCCCAGUUGAAAAUACUCCCUAACAGGAAGCUUGCAAAUGGAAACCUGGCGUCCUGCGCCCACUUUCGGAUGGGGCUGCUGCAGCAGCUGGCGGGCGGACCGGCGGUCCUGUAACCUCUGUUGCUCCGGGCUAAGCGCGGCCGGGUCCUGCGGGUCGGGCUGAGUGCCUGCGGACAACUUUAUCCGCUCAGACUCCAGCCGCGGCGGAGCGGGCAGCCAAGGUGCGCUUCGGGCUGCGCGGUGGACAGUCAUCCCCUCGGAGGUGACUGUUUGCCGUUCCAGGGGACGGGGCUCGCCCUCUCCCUGGGCCAGGGUGCCUGAUGCAAGAUGGCUGUAUUUUGUAAGCCUCUAAAACAAUGUAUGGAAUACAACGUUAACUGUACAGGGCCUGUCCUGGGAGUUUGUCCUACCAGCCAGAGUGGGCCUUGUAACCGUCUCAGUAUUUGGUAGGAUUACUUCGGAAAGAGGCUUGCCAAAUAUAAUAGCGUAGUCCAGUGUUGUCAGCUUCAGCAUAGUUUGCAAGGGGCUGAAAACGGCAGAAAUAAGGGAAACAUGGUUUACGAAUUAUGUUUAACCAUUUUCCAAUUCUCGGUAGCCUGCAGAACAGACUUCAUGGCUCAAGCUACCCUCAUUAACUGGCGGUUGAUUGGCUAACAAACAGCUGAACCUUCCUAGAUAUUGACAACGCUCUACAACUGUCUGUGCACGUUUUCCGUAGAAGUGUCAUGAAGACAUCCCAUAGGAUGGUGAAGGAGACAAAUUUCACAGAUAAAGGACACUACUAUCUGUAAUCUGAAGACCUCAAAAGCAUCUUAGUCAUAAACAUUAUCCUGAAACAGAUAAAUGGAAAUCAGAUAUGAGGGAAGGAAUGGAUUGGUCCAAGGUCACUUAAGUGAGGAACAGACCUAGGAGAAACAAAAUAAUCCAAGCUUGUUUCAUUAUUAUUUAAUGAAUGUUAAGUGUCCAUGGUUGCUAUACAGAACACAUAAAAUCUGCGAUCCUAUCUUAAAAGCACAUGCAAAAAAUCCUCAGCUUAGCUGCCAGCGAAGAAUUCCUACAGUUUAACCCAAGGGAAAGAGGUUUUUUUGUUUUUCUUUUUUGUUUUGUUUUCAGGAAACCAAAAUAUUUGUUGCUGGAUUUAUACAGGAAGGCUGUUGUACAUCAGUUAAAUUCAUAUUGUCAAGAAAUGUUAAAAUGACAGGGGUAAUGUUCUCUUUGUAUGCUAUAUUUUCCCAUAAGUUUCUUCUUCCAGGCUUUAAAUAAAUGCCUAAGGAAUGGAAAGACUGUUUCAGGUGAAAUAAUUCUGAACUUGGAAUAUCUGAACCAACUGUUUCCUGUCUCUACCAUGUAGAUAGUAAUAUUUAUUUAUGGGAAGGUAUGCUACAACCUCUAUCUUCUAGUUGUAGAUUGAUUAUUAAGCACCUGGAUAAGUGACUGGAUACCUGAUGUUAGCUUCAGGAAGUUUUUUUUUUGUACUAAGGAUUGAACCUAAGGUGCUCUACCACUGAGCUAUAUCUCCAGAACACAUGCAUACUUUUUUUUUUUAAGACAGGGUCUAAGUUGCUGAGGUCUGGAACUUGUAAUCCUCCUGCCUCAGCCUUCUGAGUCUCUGAGAUUACAGGUAUGAGCCACUGUGACCAGCUAGGAAGUUUUCUCAUUAGAUGAAUAUGUAUUGCUUGCCAACUCUGCUCCGCACACACCUAGGUGCUAGGAUUAUAGCAGUGAACACCACCAGCGACAUUCCCAACUUCAUGGUGCUGCCUUGCUUCCUUAUAGGGAAGUAGCACUUGGCCAGGGAGCAGGAUGCUUUGGAGCCCCUUUGGCAAAAACUCAGGUUAAAGGGAAAGGGAUUGUAGAGUCCAGAUGGUGGAGAAGGAGAACUGCCAAGGCAAAAAGGAAUUUUUAUUUUUCUUUUGAAGUACUGGGGAUUGAACCAGGGGUGCUUUACUGAAACUACAUCCCUAGCCCUUUUUUAUUUUGAGACGGGAUCUUACUAAGUUGCCCAGACAGACCUGGAAUUGGCUGAGGUGGCCCUCAAACUUGACAUCCUCCUCUCUUAGCCAGCCAAAUGGCUAGGAUUGUAGGCUUCCAGGUGUAGGACACCUUACCCUGCCGCAAGAGGGAAUUGGUAGGGGGCACCAGGGGUCAGUGCUGAAUUGGUUUUACUUCUGAAACUCAUGGGCUAAUAAUGGCCUCAACAUUUGGAGUUUAAAAAAAAAAAUGGGGGAGGAGGGGUAUAAAAGCCUUAAGGUGAAAAUAUUUUCCCUAGAAUAGAAUACUUAAGGCUGCUAAUUUAGAUUUGUUUAUAAGUAAAAGUAUAGAGUGGAAAGGAUUUUAAAAGCACCACUCUUCAUAUCCAUUUGGCUCCUGUCAGUCAAAUGAAAAGAUUACUGCCUCAUGGAAAUGUUUCUGGCUACUUUAGUGCUACCACUUACAUGUUAUCACAUCACUCUUUUUCUUUGUCAUGUUGAUUUAAACCUAUCAUCUGUUUAUUGUUCAUUAUCUGUUUCCUCCCCAAAGAAUGUGACCUAGGAUAGAGAUGGUCUUACCUGUUUCUUUAUCCUAUCUGAGCAUUGCUCCCCCUGAUUACCACCCCGCACACACCAGUUAGGAGCCUUUCCCCAUGAUCUCAUACAGUUCCAUGGAAAUUAUCAUAUACAAAGGUAGAGAAAAUAGUAUAAAGAACCCCCAUGUACCCAUCACUCAGCUUCAAAAAUUAUCCACUCAUCACCAAUCUUGUGUUUUAUCUUCUCUUUCUCUCACUCCUCCCACCUCCUCACUUGAAUUGUUUGAAGCAAAUCCAGUCUACAUCAUUGCAUCUGUUGAUAUUCCAGUAUGUAUCAUAGAAGACAAAUAAAUGAUCUGUGC